UACGUAGGGACCAAGCGUUGUUCGGAUUUACUGGGCGUAAAGGGCGCGUAGGCGGCGUGUUAAGUCACUUGUGAAAUCUCUGAGCUUAACUCAGAACGGUCAAGUGAUACUGAUGUGCUAGAGUGCAGAAGGGGCAACCGGAAUUCUUGGUGUAGCGGUGAAAUGCGCAGAUAUCAGGAGGAACACCGGUGGCGAAGGCGGGUCUCUGGGCAGUAACUGACGCUGAGGAGCGAAAGCGUGGGGAGCGAACAGG
rnacentral:rRNA from 1 species